rnacentral:tRNA from 1 species
CCGACGGUGGUCAAACGGUCGUGAUGGUGGGCUUUUGACUCUUCUGUCCUAGGUUGGAAUCCUACCGUUGCU